ensembl:lncRNA
GAGCUUUUAAAACCCCUCUGGAGCCCUCUAAUAUCAGGAGAGGGAUUAUUGCUGUGGCCCUCCCCUUCGCUCUCCACUUGUCUAUUCCUCUGCUAUCAUUUAAAUGUCUGAGCAAUAAUUGAAUGAAUUAUCAUAAAAUUUUGACAAAUUCAUUGACUCGGCCACCACCGCGAGUGAGUGAGAGCGUUUCCUUUCAUUUUAGCCGUGCAAGACAUGACAUUUGAAAUUCGUUUAUAUGCGGCAAAGACCUUUCGCUGUUUCGCCAGUGGUCUGAAGAACAAAAAGAGAUUCAGAGCCUCAUUUGUUUUGGACUCCUCCAAAUAGCUUGGUUCUUCUGGGAUGUGUGUGAUCUCUGGAGAAGACCUAGAUACAAGAAACAAAGAACUCCUCUGCCUGAAGGAUCCAAGUCAAACCAAUCUGUUACAAGUAACAUUUCAUUAUCUCUUCAGAUACAAACCACAAGGUCCCGCAAAUAGAGGCCUAUUUUUCCGGCUCUGCUAAUAGAAUUGAAUUUCACAGAGUGUAACUUAAAUUAGACAUUCCAUAGCAGCCCUGAAUGGCAGAAAUAAUCGGCAUGGGUGACUAAUUUGGCAGAGCGUGUGCUAAGUACACAAAUCCCCUUUUUUCCACCCCUCGCCCGAGGUUUGCGAAGAGCGGCGCACAACCCACAGACAAAGGCAACACGCGGCUCAUAAAAAUUAACAUAGUAAAUGACCUGGAGAGGAAGGCACAAUAAAUAAUCUGAUCUUAUCACCUCUGAGUAUGCGUGGCAUGGAAUGGAGGCGUCCAAUGAAAAUAUCCUCGUUAAUCUUGCAUACCCUUGGAUAAACUUCUACACAGGAAGCCAUUUCUCUGCAUAGUCUCUGGGGGUCGACACAAGGUUGUCUACUUCUACAACUGAAAUCCUUUUAUUUAUUUUUUGAGGAGGAGGAAGUUGAGCAAAAACUGACCGUGGUUAAUUCAUUUAGCCAUUUGGCUUGGUUGCAACACUUGAUUUUGUCAGUGCAUUUAACAUGUACAAACUUUUUAAAGACUUCUGGCCAGUCUACAGCCCUUUAAAACAUGUGUUUUGGACGUUUUAUGACUUGCUGAACUAUGUUUUACAAGAACAUAGUCAGUCUUCUACUUCAAAAUUCAACGUGUUACAUGACAUUUCUUCAUAGUUAGUUGUAACAUUUACUAGCAGAUUUUUUUUUCUUCAGUCAGUUUUUGUCUUGUGAUAAAAUAUUGCUUAAAUGUAGUCAAUAUUUAACUCAGUUGAAAAUCACUUGUGUGUUUUUUGCAGUUGCCGACUGUAAUAUUAAGUUUGUGUUGUGUUUAUACAUGAUCUUGUGUGUAGGAUGCGUUCAGGUGAGUUAAUUAACCAGCUAGUGAAGCGUUUCUAUUUACCAGUGUUUAUUCACUGAUCAGCUGCAGCUUCCCUGAUAUUAUU